UACGUAUGUCACGAGCGUUAUCCGGAUUUAUUGGGCGUAAAGCGAGCGCAGACGGUUGAUUAAGUCUGAUGUGAAAGCCCGGCGCUCAACUCCGGAAUGGCAUUGGAAACUGGUUAACUUGAGUGCAGUAGAGGUAAGUGGAACUCCAUGUGUAGCGGUGGAAUGCGUAGAUAUAUGGAAGAACACCAGUGGCGAAGGCGGCUUACUGGACUGUAACUGACGUUGAGGCUCGAAAGUGUGGGUAGCAAACAGGAUUAGAUACCCCAGUAGUCC
rnacentral:rRNA from 1 species